rnacentral:rRNA from 1 species
UGGGGAAUUUUGGACAAUGGGCGAAAGCCUGAUCCAGCAAUGCCGCGUGUGUGAAGAAGGCCUUCGGGUUGUAAAGCACUUUUGUCCGGAAAGAAAUCCUUGGCUCUAAUACAGUCGGGGGAUGACGGUACCGGAAGAAUAAGCACCGGCUAACUACGUGCCAGCAGCCGCGGUAAUACGUAGGGUGCAAGCGUUAAUCGGAAUUACUGGGCGUAAAGCGUGCGCAGGCGGUUUGCUAAGACCGAUGUGAAAUCCCCGGGCUCAACCUGGGAACUGCAUUGGUGACUGGCAGGCUAGAGUAUGGCAGAGGGGGGUAGAAUUCCACGUGUAGCAGUGAAAUGCGUAGAGAUGUGGAGGAAUACCGAUGGCGAAGGCAGCCCCCUGGGCCAAUACUGACGCUCAUGCACGAAAGCGUGGGGAGCAAAACAGGAUUAGAUACCCUGGUAGUCCACGCCCUAAACGAUGUCAACUAGUUGUUGGGGAUUCAUUUCCUUAGUAACGUAGCUAACGCGUGAAGUUGACCGCCUGGGGAGUACGGUCGCAAGAUUAAAACUCAAAUGAA